rnacentral:rRNA from 1 species
GUAGGGAAUAUUGGGCAAUGGAGGCAACUCUGACGCAGCCAUGCCGCGUGCAGGAAGAAGGCGCUACGCGUUGUAAACUGCUUUUAACCGGGAAGAAACCCCAGGACGUGUCCUGGGUUGACGGUACCGGAGGAAUAAGCACCGGCUAACUUCGUGCCAGCAGCCGCGGUAAUACGAAGGGUGCAAGCGUUAUCCGGAUUCAUUGGGUUUAAAGGGUGCGUAGGCGGAGCGUUAAGUCAGUGGUGAAAUCUUGCAGCUUAACUGUAGACUUGCCAUUGAUACUGGCGCUCUUGAGUGCGCUUGAAGUGGGCGGAAUGUGCCGUGUAGCGGUGAAAUGCUUAGAUAUGGCACAGAACACCAAUUGCGAAGGCAGUUCACUAAGGCGAUACUGACGCUGAGGCACGAAAGCGUGGGGAUCGAACAGGAUUAGAAACCCGUGUAGUCC